CCUACGGGAGGCAGCAGUGGGGAAUCUUGCGCAAUGGGCGAAAGCCUGACGCAGCGACGCCGCGUGAGUGACGAAGGCCUUCGGGUUGUAAAGCUCUGUGGGGAAGAACGAACUGGCAUUCGGUGAACAUCCGGGUGUCUUGACGGUACUUCCUUAGCAAGCACCGGCUAACUCUGUGCCAGCAGCCGCGGUAAGACAGAGGGUGCAAACGUUGCUCGGAUUUACUGGGCGUAAAGCGCAAGUAGGCGGUCUCGUUAGUCGGGUGUGAAAACCCAGGGCU
rnacentral:rRNA from 2 species